AGAACCCAACAGGGAUUGCCCUAGUAACGGCGAGUGAAGCGGCAACAGCUCAAAUUUGAAAUCUGGCUCCUUUGGGGUCCGAGUUGUAAUUUGCAGAGGGAGCUUUUGGCGUCGGUCGUGGUCUAAGUUCCUUGGAACAGGACGUCACAGAGGGUGAGAAUCCCGUACGUGGCCGCCGGCCUUCGCCUUGUAAAGCCCCUUCGACGAGUCGAGUUGUUUGGGAAUGCAGCUCUAAAUGGGAGGUAAAUUUCUUCUAAAGCUAAAUACCCGCCAGAGACCGAUAGCGCACAAGUAGAGUGAUCGAAAGAUGAAAAGCACUUUGGAAAGAGAGUGAAAAAGCACGUGAAAUUGUUGAAAGGGAAGCGCUUGCGGCCAGACGUGCCCGCGGUUGAUCAUCCAGGCUCCAGCCUGGUGCACUCCUCCGCGGGCAGGCCAGCAUCAGUUCGGGCGGUCGGAUAAAGGCCUCUAUCACGUACCACCCCUCGGGGUGGCCUUAUAGGGGAGGCGCAACACGGCCAGCCCGGACUGAGGUUCCGCGCAUCUGCUAGGAUGCUGGCGUAAUGGCAGCAAGCGGCCCGUCUUGAAACACGGACCAAGGAGUCUAACAUCUAUGCGAGUGUUUGGGUGUCAAGCCCGAGCGCGCAAUGAAAGUGAACGGAGGUGGGAACCCUUACCGGUGCACCAUCGACCGAUCCUGAUGUCUUCGGAUGGAUUUGAGUAAGAGCAUAGCUGUUGGGACCCGAAAGAUGGUGAACUAUGCCUGAAUAGGGUGAAGCCAGAGGAAACUCUGGUGGAGGCUCGCAGCGGUUCUGACGUGCAAAUCGAUCGUCAAAUUUGG
rnacentral:rRNA from 1 species